UCCAAAACCAGUUGCUGUCAA
rnacentral:siRNA from 1 species